UGGCCAAUGAUCGCGCGGUGCUCGAAAUGUCUUCCAUAGAUCCGAGAUCUACUUCUUCUUCCACUUCUGCAUUUACAGAUAUUCCUUUUAAUCUCAGAAGCUUAUUAAUAAAAAAGAAGGAGUAAUAGUUACCUCCAAGGUGCCAGAAACGGGUUUGACCUUAGAACCAACCUCCGAUUCUAUUCCCAAUCGCGAUGAAGUCCAGGAGGUGGAAAACAAAGAAGCAGAAAAUGUUUUACCUGACAAUCAAGAAAUAGACUUAGUAGGAUCUACUAAUGAAGAGGAUGCACUGGAUCCAGAGAAAAUGAGGCUGGAGGAAGCAGCAACAAAGGCACAAGCUGCUUUCAGGGGUUAUUUGAUAGAUGAAAAUGUACAAAGGGAAAUUAUAAAUCACAGAUCAUUGAGGCAUCCCAAUAUUGUCAGGUUCAA